GGUGGCUCAGUGGUAGAGCGCUUGCCUUGCAUGCAUGAGGUCCUGAGUUCGAUUCCCAGUACCA
rnacentral:tRNA from 1 species